UGCCUCUCCAGUUCAAGCAGUUCUUGUGCCUCAGCCUCCAAGUAGCUGUGACUACAGUUGCAAGUGGAUGGCAAGCUUCCUUGUGACUUCUCAUCCUGGCAAUUUUCUGGAGUGUUUGUGACUGGACUUUAACAUUUCCAAAAUGUGGCGACAGUGACUGUUAAGUCUUCCCAAAGACGAGGGUUCCUGGGAGCCCCAGGGCUGCAAGCAUCAGGACAGCAGAGACCAAAUUCAUCAUUGAAUCCUCAACAUCUAGCACAAUAUGCCUGGCAUAAGGUGAAGAGAAGAAGAGUAUGAACUACCACGAAACUCAUUUCCCUCCGUCCUUCAAUCAAAUACAAUGACCUUCAGCUACUCUCACCAUUCUCUACUGAAAACAUCCCAACUAUCUGGAAAGAACUCACCUAAAGUUCCCCAACAUCAAAUAAACCACGUUCCAAAAGAUUCAGAGCCAGAGAGAAACAAAACGCCCUUUGUUGAUGAAGCAUUUACUCAUACAUACAUACAAGUGUGU
rnacentral:lncRNA from 1 species